rnacentral:lncRNA from 1 species
UAACGCUUUAAAAUGAGUAGUGCUUUCUUGUAGGUAAUCUUUUUGCUGUUUGGCCUGUAUUAUGGAUUAUCUGAACAGACUAAUGAAUACCAUGUGAUAGAUAAAGAUUUAUCUUAGACUUGAUGUAGCAGAAAUUACCUGUCCAGGAGCACAUAAAACAGUUUUCCAUUCCUUAAUCUGUAGAUGUAUAGCCACAAUCAUGCCAUUGGCCCAAAGAACAUUGCUCAAGUUGAAAUUUAUCUGCUUAUAUUCACUACUCCAAGUAAUGCUACAGACUGUAGAUGUUGCAGAGGUUAUUGAAGGACUCAUGGACCUGACAAUGCUUUGAUUUCACAGAAACAGAACUUCAACUGCUUUGUGACAUUGAUUUCCCAGAGUCAGGGCAAGGUUUGAUGAUAAACAACGUAUAUUCUCAGGAAGACUUACCUUUGCUUAGUAAAUAUUUCAUUUCCCAUUUCAAGGCUGUAACGUAGCCACAGUUUUACUCUGACCUUGAAAAUUCAGAAUGGAAUAAUAGAUGUGUGAGCAUAUUUCUGCUAUAAACUCUUCCUUAUCAGUAUGUGUAGUUACUCUGGGUACAUUUUUUUUUUUUUCCAGGACAGAUAGAUUAACAGAAUUGUUAAUACUACUAUAAAUUAGAGUAAUAACACUGUUUGAGAUGGUUACUAGAUGCUCCUGGGAAUAGCACUGAAGUAAUCAACCACAAGGCAUGGGUUCCAAGGAAGCACUGAAAUGCCUUCCCAUUUCUCCCAAAAGACAAGAAAGAGAAGAGCUGAAUUAGCAGUUAAUAAUAUAUAAUGAGUUAGAAGUUUGAAGUUUAUGAUGAUUCAUAAUUAUUGUAAGAAACCAGUUUGUCGAUUCAUGAAUUCAAGACAAACUUGUUUUCCUGCACGCUGACUAUUGCCAUUUGCUGUAGUUGUGGUGUUGUAUGGUCUUUCAACAGGGUUCAAUUUUUGGAGAUUUUUUUUUUUUUUCCUUCCUACAAUAAAUAGUAAGUAAGCAAAGGGUUUGGCUCCUCU